rnacentral:rRNA from 1 species
GAACUCUGGUAUUGAUUGGUGCUUGCAUCAUGAUUUACAUUUGAGUGAGUGGCGAACUGGUGAGUAACACGUGGGAAACCUGCCCAGAAGCGGGGGAUAACACCUGGAAACAGAUGCUAAUACCGCAUAACAACUUGGACCGCAUGGUCCGAGUUUGAAAGAUGGCUUCGGCUAUCACUUUUGGAUGGUCCCGCGGCGUAUUAGCUAGAUGGUGGGGUAACGGCUCACCAUGGCAAUGAUACGUAGCCGACCUGAGAGGGUAAUCGGCCACAUUGGGACUGAGACACGGCCCAAACUCCUACGGGAGGCAGCAGUAGGGAAUCUUCCACAAUGGACGAAAGUCUGAUGGAGCAACGCCGCGUGAGUGAAGAAGGGUUUCGGCUCGUAAAACUCUGUUGUUAAAGAAGAACAUAUCUGAGAGUAACUGUUCAGGUAUUGACGGUAUUUAACCAGAAAGCCACGGCUAACUACGUGCCAGCAGCCGCGGUAAUACGUAGGUGGCAAGCGUUGUCCGGAUUUAUUGGGCGUAAAGCGAGCGCAGGCGGUUUUUUAAGUCUGAUGUGAAAGCCUUCGGCUCAACCGAAGAAGUGCAUCGGAAACUGGGAAACUUGAGUGCAGAAGAGGACAGUGGAACUCCAUGUGUAGCGGUGAAAUGCGUAGAUAUAUGGAAGAACACCAGUGGCGAAGGCGGCUGUCUGGUCUGUAACUGACGCUGAGGCUCGAAAGUAUGGGUAGCAAACAGGAUUAGAUACCCUGGUAGUCCAUACCGUAAACGAUGAAUGCUAAGUGUUGGAGGGUUUCCGCCCUUCAGUGCUGCAGCUAACGCAUUAAGCAUUCCGCCUGGGGAGUACGGCCGCAAGGCUGAAACUCAAAGGAAUUGACGGGGGCCCGCACAAGCGGUGGAGCAUGUGGUUUAAUUCGAAGCUACGCGAAGAACCUUACCAGGUCUUGACAUACUAUGCAAAUCUAAGAGAUUAGACGUUCCCUUCGGGGACAUGGAUACAGGUGGUGCAUGGUUGUCGUCAGCUCGUGUCGUGAGAUGUUGGGUUAAGUCCCGCAACGAGCGCAACCCUUAUUAUCAGUUGCCAGCAUUAAGUUGGGCACUCUGGUGAGACUGCCGGUGACAAACCGGAGGAAGGUGGGGAUGACGUCAAAUCAUCAUGCCCCUUAUGACCUGGGCUACACACGUGCUACAAUGGAUGGUACAACGAGUUGCGAACUCGCGAGAGUAAGCUAAUCUCUUAAAGCCAUUCUCAGUUCGGAUUGUAGGCUGCAACUCGCCUACAUGAAGUCGGAAUCGCUAGUAAUCGCGGAUCAGCAUGCCGCGGUGAAUACGUUCCCGGGCCUUGUACACACCGCCCGUCACACCAUGAGAGUUUGUAACACCCAAAGU